rnacentral:lncRNA from 1 species
GUACCGCUGCCUGGCGGAGAACAGCAUGGGCGUCUCCUCCACCAAGGCUGAGCUUCGUGUGGAAUUGACCAGCACAGACUAUGACACUGCUGCUGAUGCUACCGAGACCUCAUCCUACUUCAGCGCCCAGGGAUACCUGUCCAGCCGGGAGCAAGAGGGGACGGAGUCAGAUGAGGGGCAGCUUCCCCAGGUGCUGGAGGAACUGAAAGACCUCCAGGUGGCCCCUGGCACACGCCUGGCCAAGUUCCAGCUCAAGGUGAAAGGU